rnacentral:rRNA from 1 species
UACAGAGGGUGCUAGCGUUGUUCGGAAUCAUUGGGCGUAAAGGGCGUGUAGGCGGUUUGUUAAGUCAUGUGUGAAAGCCCCCGGCUCAACCGGGGAACGACGCAUGAAACUGGCAAGCUAGAGUACCGAAGAGGGGGGUGGAAUUCCCGGUGUAGCGGUGAAAUGCGUAGAGAUGUGGAGGAACACCGAUGGCGAAGGCAGCCCCCUGGGCCAAUACUGACGCUGAGAAGCGAAAGCAUGGGGGAGCGAACAGG